rnacentral:rRNA from 1 species
GACGAACGCUGGCGGCGUGCUUAACACAUGCAAGUCGAACGGAAAGUCCCUGCUUUUGUGGGGUACUCGAGUGGCGAACGGGUGCGUAACACGUGGGUAACCUGCCCUUGACUUUGGGAUAACUUCAGGUAACUGGGGCUAAUACCGGCUAGGAGCUCCUGCUGCAUGUUGGGGGUUGGAAAGUUUCGGCGGUUGGGGAUGGACUCGCGGCUUAUCAGCUUGUUGGUGGGGUAGUGGCUUACCAAGGCUUUGACGGGUCGCCGGCCUGAGAGGGAGACCGGCCACAGUGGGACUGAGAUACGGCCAAGACUGCUACGGGAGGCAGCAGUGGGGAAUAUUGCACAAUGGGCGGAAGCCGGAUGCAGCAACGCCGCGUGCGGGAUGACGGCCGUCGGGUUGUAAACCGCUUUCGCCUGUGACGAAGCGUGAGUGACGGUAAUGGGUAAAGAAGCACCGGCUAACUACGUG